rnacentral:rRNA from 1 species
CCUACGGGUGGCAGCAGUGAGGAAUAUUGGUCAAUGGACGAAAGUCUGAACCAGCCAAGUAGCGUGAAGGAUGACUGCCCUAUGGGUUUUAAACUUCUUUUAUAUGGGAAUAAAAUGUUCCACGUGUGGGCUUUUAUAUGUACCAUAUGAAUAAGGAUCGGCUAACUCCGUGCCAGCAGCCGCGGUAAUACGGAGGAUCCGAGCGUUAUCCGGAUUGAGUGGGGUUAAAGGGAGCGUAGGUGGAUUGUUAAGUCAGUUGUGAAAGUUUGCGGCUCAACCGUAAAAUUGCAGUUGAGACUGGCAGUCUUGAGUACAGUAGAGGUGGGCGGAAUUCGUGGUGUAGCGGUGAAAUGCUUAGAUAUCACGAAGAACUCCGAUGGCGAAGGCAGCUCACUGGACUGCAACUGACACUGAGGCUCGAAAGUGUGGGUAUCAAACAGGAUUAGAUACCCGGGUAGUC